rnacentral:rRNA from 1 species
AACGAACGCUGGCGGCAUGCCUAACACAUGCAAGUCGAACGAGACCUUCGGGUCUAGUGGCGCACGGGUGCGUAACGCGUGGGAACCUGCCCUUAGGUUCGGAAUAACUCCCCGAAAGGGGUGCUAAUACCGGAUCAUGUCUUCGGACCAAAGAUUUAUCGCCUUUGGAUGUGCCCGCGUUGGAUUAGCUAGUUGGUAGGGUAAAAGCCUACCAAGGCGACGAUCCAUAGCUGGUCUGAGAGGAUGAUCAGCCACACUGGGACUGAGACACGGCCCAGACUCCUACGGGAGGCAGCAGUGGGGAAUAUUGGACAAUGGGCGAAAGCCUGAUCCAGCAAUGCCGCGUGAGUGAUGAAGGCCUUAGGGUUGUAAAGCUCUUUUACCCGGGAUGAUAAUGACAGUACCGGGAGAAUAAGCUCCGGCUAACUCCGUG